AUACUCAUGUUUCUCUUCAGAUCAUAUAAAUCUUUUGCAUUUUACUAUUCUCGUGGGUAGGAACAAGCUUGAGUGUUGCUUAAAUUUUUUGAGGCCUUGCAUAAGCAAAGCU
ensembl:snRNA U5 U5 spliceosomal RNA